rnacentral:misc_RNA from 1 species
UUUCCGUAGGUGAACCUGCGGAAGGAUCAUUAUCGAGUUUUUGUUGGUCUUCAACAAAACUUCAUCCUAUGUUUAUAUACUUUGUAUACUUUGGCAAGACGCUUUGACUUGAAGUUGGAGAAUAUUCAGCCACAAGAAAAAGCCACUGACGUCAUUUACUUGACAGUGAGUGUGUUUGCUUGCCAAAGGUUUAACACUUUUAUACUGUUGUCUGAGUACUACAAAAAUAAAUUAAAACUUUCAACAACGGAUCUCUUGGUUCUGGCAUCGAUGAAGAACGCAGC